rnacentral:lncRNA from 1 species
AUGAAAUUGAGUUCAAUUUACUUGAGAAAUUUCAGUCUUGAAUUUGUUCUUUUUAUAUUCGCAAGUGUGCGCAAUAGAAAAAUCCUUCUUUUUCACAGAACAUUGGAAAAAUACUUUUACUUAUAUUAUACAUUGAAGAGAGAACAUUGUAUACAUUGUGUAUUCUGCCCUGUAUUGCCGUUAUAUUGUCUUCCGAUUGUUCUCUUAUUGCUGCCAUAUUACUUUUUUCACCUAUGUAUUGGCAAUUAUAA